rnacentral:rRNA from 1 species
CAGGGAUUGCCCUAGUAACGGCGAGUGAAGCGGCAACAGCUCAAAUUUGAAAUCUGGCGUCUUUGGCGUCCGAGUUGUAAUUUGCAGAGGGCGCUUUGGCAUUGGCAGCGGUCCAAGUUCCUUGGAACAGGACGUCACAGAGGGUGAGAAUCCCGUACGUGGUCGCUAGCCUUUACCGUGUAAAGCCCCUUCGACGAGUCGAGUUGUUUGGGAAUGCAGCUCUAAAUGGGAGGUAAAUUUCUUCUAAAGCUAAAUACUGGCCAGAGACCGAUAGCGCACAAGUAGAGUGAUCGAAAGAUGAAAAGCACUUUGGAAAGAGAGUUAAAAAGCACGUGAAAUUGUUGAAAGGGAAGCGCUUGCAGCCAGACUUGCCUGUAGUUGCUCAUCCGGGUUUUUACCCGGUGCACUCUUCUACGGGCAGGCCAGCAUCAGUUUGGGCGGUUGGAUAAAGGUCUCUGUCAUGUACCUCCUCUCGGGGAGAUCUUAUAGGGGAGACGACAUGCAACCAGCCUGGACUGAGGUCCGCGCAUCUGCUAGGAUGCUGGCGUAAUGGCUGUAAGCGGCCCGUCUUGAAACACGGACCAAGGAGUCUAACAUCUAUGCGAGUGUUUGGGUGUCAAGCCCGAACGCGUAAUGAAAGUGAACGGAGGUGGGAACCUUUCGGGGUGCACCAUCGACCGAUCCUGAUGUCUUCGGAUGGAUUUGAGUAAGAGCAUAGCUGUUGGGACCCGAAAGAUGGUGAACUAUGCUUGAAUAGGGUGAAGCCAGAGGAAACUCUGGUGGAGGCUCGCAGCGGUUCUGACGUGCAAAUCGAUCGUCAAAUUUGGGCAUAGGGGCGAAAGACUAAUCGAACU